rnacentral:misc_RNA from 1 species
ACGCUACGUAGGCACAUGUGUACAUCGGCAGGUUUCUUUGGCAAGUAGGCAAACAGUUACGGUGGCAGGCAAGCACACGGGCACACGGGCAAGCACGAGUGUAACGAGUACGCAAGGUACUUGCUGCCAGGAACCCGUGCGGCACUUUACGGAAACGUAACAAGGGUGCAGGUAGCCUGUGAACCUGUCUGACUGCGGGUACUCGUGUCUCGCCCGCUGGAGGGUUUACGGACCUUCGGACAAGGUCCAGUUGCUUAAGCGUACGAUCAUGGUGCGCAAACAGGGAGUUAUAGCACACCUUGCACCCGCUGAGCGCAACUGCAACAGCGAAACGUGUACCGAUGUUUUCGGAACUGCAAAAAGUGACCGAGGGUAGUACGGGAGCCCUGGAUGAGGCGCAUCUGCUGCCCGGCGCCAUGCGAGCUCCAAGGGACAGCGUGCGCAGGGCCAGCACCAGAGCGCUUCUCUCCGCUUCGCGUGUGCGAACAGACUUGUCGUGAAGCUGUCUGAAAUUCAAACAAAAACUCUCCAGUUUCUUGCAACGCCACGUCGCAAUACGGUUUCAUAGAGCGCCUCUGACCGAUCCGUCCUGGCGUCGGCAAGUGUGCGAGCGCUUGUGAUAUCGGAGGUUUACGCAAACGGCAACCAGCACUGAGCCCGUCGCCGCUCCGGCCUAUGCGAUGGACCAAAUGCGACGUGAUGCUUCAAACGUAUGACGGCGUUCUUGGCAACUGGUUACCAGCAGUAAUGUCUGUGUAAUUUGCCGACAAUGUUUUUCUAGGUUUCAUGAUGAACUCUUGCACACAGCGCCAGCAAGCCUGGGCGCUGAAUACCUCCUUCGUUCUCGACACGCAGAAGCGGCCCUGCGUGGUAUCGCCACCGUGACCCGCGGCCCCAUACUCAAGGGCUAUAGCGCAUCAGCUCUUCUACGAUUCGAUUGGGCGCAAAAAGAGCUUUUCAGAAUCCAUUCCAAUGCGCCUAUAUAUCCGCUAAAACUCCGGGGGUGCGGGUGCAUCCUCGAGGCGGUUGUGGCGCUGAAACCGUCGGUGCCCUCGGCGGGGCGUCAGAUGAGGUGGCCAAAUCGUGCCCGGUCCAAGCUCAUCUUGUACUUCUUCUCGCCCCGCACUAGUUUCCAGCUGGCGGAGCUGACGACUAGAUACCUCAUUAUCGGUUCUGGCUACAGCCAAUUCGGUUUUUAGGUGAGCAAUCUGCCGCAACAGGUUCUCUUCGCGGACAGAUGCCUCUUCUCGGACUCGUUGGAGCUCCUCCUGCAGAACUCGGAGUGAUUCUCGCUGGUUGCGCACCAGUUCCUGCAUGAAGCCUUGCAACUCAGAGCGUAACACUUCCUGCUGGGUGCGUGCGUCGUCAGCAGGGGUCGUAGCCGCUGGCGCUGCUGAGUCCAGCAAACGCGACUGCAGCGCAGCGAGUUGCUCUUCAAUGCGUGUGCUGCGCCUGCGCUCCGUCUCCAGUUGCUCCUCUAGCGCCUUUUUUGUCAUCUGAAGACGGUGGACCUCGUCAUCAGAUUCGCGUAAGUAACUUGUAGCCAAAGCAUAAGUUUCACGAAUUAGCGCCUGUUCACUGUCUUCCCAGAACUGUUGUAGCUUCGCGGUGGCGUCGUGCACCACUUGCUUCCAUUGCUCCAGGUUCUCUGGUUUGGCCUGUUCCACAGCUUGACGGACCAAGUCUGCGUCCAGCCUCUCGGCACUUGAUAUUCUCUCCUCUUCGAAAGCGUUUGCAAGACUAGUGAGCUCAGCUCUGAGCGAAGCGGCUCGGCUCAUGGUGGCGGCUGAGCACGCACCAGCACCGCCGCUCUAAGUCGAACGACGCCAACGGUGCACAGUAGUGGCGAUAAACCCUCCCUAGACAAAACG